rnacentral:rRNA from 1 species
AAUAGAUACCCUGGUAGUCCACGCCGUAAACGAUGGGCACUAGGUGUGGGAGGUGUCGACUCCUUCCGUGCCGAAGCUAACGCAUUAAGUGCCCCGCCUGGGGAGUACGGCCGCAAGGCUAAAACUCAAAGGAAUUGACGGGGGGCCCGCACAAGCAGCGGAGCAUGUGGUUUAAUUCGGCGCAACGCGAAGAACCUUACCUGGGCUUGACAUGUUCCUGACAGGUGUGGAAACACACCCUCCCUUCGGGGCAGGAUCACAGGUGGUGCAUGGCUGUCGUCGGCUCGUGUCGUGAGAUGUUGGGUUAAGUCCCGCAACGAGCGCAACCCCUGUCGCAUGUUGCCAGCAUUUAGUUGGGGACUCAUGCGAGACUGCCGGUGACAAACCGGAGGAAGGUGGGGAUGACGUCAAGUCAUCAUGCCCCUUAUGUCCAGGGCUACACACGUGCUACAUUGGCCGGUACAAAGGGCUGCGGUACCGCGAGGUGGAGCGAAUCCCAUAAACGCCGGUCUCGGUUCGGAUUGGAGGCUGAAACUCG